CAGUCGCCGCGGUAAUACGUAGGUGGCAAGCGUUGUCCGGAAUUAUUGGGCGUAAAGGGCUCGCAGGCGGUUUCUUAAGUCUGAUGUGAAAGCCCCCGGCUCAACCGGGGAGGGUCAUUGGAAACUGGGAAACUUGAGUGCAGAAGAGGAGAGUGGAAUUCCACGUGUAGCGGUGAAAUGCGUAGAGAUGUGGAGGAACACCAGUGGCGAAGGCGACUCUCUGGUCUGUAACUGACGCUGAGGAGCGAAAGCGUGGGGAGCGAACAGGAUAGAUACCCCUGUAGUCCCUGUCUCUUAUACA
rnacentral:rRNA from 1 species